rnacentral:misc_RNA from 1 species
GAAAAACAUUCAGUCCAAGCUGCUGCCUCAGAAUUUCUUCAAAAAGCAGCACAUGAGCUUCUUGGUGAUAACGCAAGUGGCUUAAAAGGACCUAUACAAAUUGAUGCAUUAGAUGACAAUGAUCUGCAUUUGGGCUGAUUUCUUAGUUUGUCCUGGACUGCAGAGACUGGAUCUGCUGGUGUUUAACAUCUGCUUGAGUUGUACUAUUAUGACUGUGGCCUAGUUGUUGAGGAUUGCUUUUCUUGUUUCUGUGGUACGGAGCCUUUAUUAGUUUCUAUUAUCUGCCGCAGUUUUUCUUGGUGUUUGAUGAUGGGUAUACUAGCACACAGCUUGGAUGGAGAAUGGAGGGUUCUCUGAAGUCAAUUUGUUUUUGUUCUCUCGUCCACCAUUAUCAUUGUGAAUUGUUUUGGAUUGUAGUAAUCUUUUAGCUGCCUCUGUGCAGGGAAAACAAAAAAGCAAGUUAGUUUUUUUGUCUAUUAUUAUGUAAUCUGUUAUACAGUUCAUCGGAAAUGAUCAAACAUUUACUGGGAUUAUCUGUUGAUGAUUGUGUGAAAUGAAUGAAAUUUUUGCCAAAUAACAUCCAAAAA